AGACUUAGAUACAGUUCCUUAUGUGUUUUUUGUGCUGUUCUCCAGUUCAAGUUUCACCUCGUCAUACCAUUGCAUUGAUCUUUAAUGCAAACCCUUAUUAUAUAGAUUAUGGAGGUGAACUCCAAUUCUGAUCGGAGAACAAUACCAAAAAACACAUAUGAAACUGCAUCUAAGUU
rnacentral:pre_miRNA from 1 species